UGUUCAACGGCCGCGGUAUCCUAACCGUGCGAAGGUAGCGUAAUCACUUGUUCUUUAAAUGAGGACUAGUAUGAACGGCACCACGAGGGUUAUACCGUCUCCUCUUUCCAAUCAGUGAAACUAAUCUCCCCGUGAAGAUGCGGGGAUAGAGUUAUAAGACGAGAAGACCCUAUGGAGCUUUAAAAUUCUCUUCAGGCGCCAGACUAUUCUUACGGGUCACCAACCCCUUUACACUUACCCACGGCACCAUGAAAAUGACUUUUAGGUUGGGGUGACCACGGAGCAUAAAAAAUCCUCCACGCUGAACUAGGUCUCCAAACCUUGAGCGCAGGGCUACAACCCAAAGCACUAAAAAACUAACAUCCAUUGACCCAAUGUAUUUGAUCAACGAACCAAGUUACCCUAGGGAUAACAGCGCAAUCCACUUCAAGAGUCCCUAUCGACAAGUGGGUUUACGACCUCGAUGUUGGAUCAGGGUAUCCCAGUGGUGCAGCCGCUACUAA
rnacentral:rRNA from 1 species